rnacentral:miRNA from 1 species
UAAUGCCCUGUUAAACCCCACA